AUACUAAUUAAUAUAUAAUAUCUUAGAUUAUUAAUAGAUAUAUCCUUUAAAUUUGAAGAAUUUGGCGGUGGUUUAGUCUUGUUAGAGGAGCCUGUUUUUGAAUCGAUACACCACGCAUUAUCUUACUUAUUUUAUUUAGUUUGUAUACCGUCAUUAUCAGAUAAUCUUAGAAAAGAAAAUUGUUGAAGUUUAAAGGAGUAUAAACAAAAUUAGAUCAAGGUGCAGCUUAUAAAUAAGUUAAAAUGGGCUACAAUAAAAUUUAUUUAUUAUGAAAUAAUGAUUAGAAGUAGAGUUAUGAAGGUGGAUUUAAUUGUAAUAGAAGUUUAAUAAGCUAAAAAGAUAUAAGCUCUAAU
rnacentral:rRNA from 1 species